GGCCCAAACUGAGUAGCAAUGCGAAAAGCAUGGUCGUUCAAACCCUGGAAAAGCAUACGACGCUCGUCGUCUAGGUUUUGCUUUUCCAGGUCAUAUGCAGGAAUGCAUGUGGGGUCCGCAAGGAUCC
rnacentral:sRNA from 12 species